rnacentral:rRNA from 1 species
CAGAGGUUACUGCUAUCGAGAUUCGACUAAGCCMUGCCGAGUUGAAUGUUCUUCGUGAACAUGGCGGACUGCUCAGUAACACGUGGACAACCUACCCUUGGGUCCGGCAUAAUCCUGGGAAACUGGGAAUAAUUCCGGAUAGGUCACCGAUGCUGGAAUGCGCGGUGGCCGAAAGCUCCGGCGCCCGAGGAUGGGUCUGCGGCCUAUCAGGGUUGUAGUGGGUGUAACGUACCUACUAGCCUACGACGGGUACGGGUUGUGAGAGCAAGAGCCCGGAGAUGGAUUCUGAGACACGAAUCCAGGCCCUACGGGGUGCAGCAGGCGCGAAAACUUUACAAUGCGGGAAACCGUGAUAAGGGGAUCUCGAGUGCCAGCAUAUAAUGUUGGCUGUCCAGAUGCCUAAAAAGCAUCUGUUAGCAAGGGCCGGGCAAGACCGGUGCCAGCCGCCGCGGUAACACCGGCGGCCCGAGUGGUAACCGCUAUUAUUGGGUCUAAAGGGUCUGUAGCCGGCCAGGUAAGUCCCUUGGGAAAUCUGGCAGCUCAACUGUCAGGCUGCUAGGGGAUACUGUUUGGCUUGGGACCGGGAGAGGUGAGAGGUACCUUGGGGGUAGGGGUGAAAUCUUGUGAUCCUCGAGGGACCACCAGUGGCGAAGGCGUCUCACCAGAACGGGUCCGACGGUAAGGGACGAAAGCUAGGGGCACGAACCGGAUUAGAUACCCGGGUAGUCCUAGCCGUAAACGAUGCUCGCUAGGUGUCAGUCACGGUGCGACCGUGAUUGGUGCCGUAGGGAAGCCGUGAAGCGAGCCACCUGGGAAGUAUGGCCGCAAGGCUGAAACUUAAAGGAAUKSGSGRGSRMSCACWMCAACGGGUGGAGCCUGCGGUUUAUUG